ACCCUUUUAGUAUAAAGGUACAAUUUACUUCCAAUAAAUAGGUUUGAGGGUA
rnacentral:tRNA from 1 species